CUACGGGCUGCUCCAGUUAGGUAUAAUCUACAAUGCGCGAAAGCGUGAUAGUUUGAAUCAGAGUGCGUUUCUAUGAAAUGCUUUUGCCAAGUUUAAAACGCUUGGCGAAUAAGGACUGGGUAAGACGAGUGCCAGCCGCCGCGGUAAUACUCGCGGUCCAAGUCGCAGCCAUUUUUAUUGGGUCUAAAACAUCCGUAGCUUGUUUCUUAAGUUCCUUGUGAAAUCCUAUCUCUCAAGGGUAGGGCGCGCAAGGAGUACUGGGAAGCUAGAGACUGGGAGACGUAACGAGUACGUUUGAGGUAGCGGUAAAAUGUGUUAAUCUCAAGCGGACUAACAAUAGCGAAGGCACGUUACGAGAACAGUUCUGACAGUAAGGGAUGAAGGCCAGGGGCGCAAAACGGAUUAGAUACCCUAGUAGUC
rnacentral:rRNA from 1 species